ensembl:ncRNA asRNA:CR45009 antisense RNA:CR45009
CGCUAGGCCACAUCGUUUUUUGACAAUUUUGCGAUUGCUGGGACUUGCAAACAUAACGAUUCAUCGAUAUUUUUCUUGAAGCACUUCACACAACACUAAAUCAACUGUGAUUUCUAACACAAAAGAGUUCACAAACGUAUUCGGCUUUGCAAGCGGCAACUGUUGAACCACCAGGAUUGGAUAUCGUGGUAGAACUGUGUCUUGUGGCCAAAUGAGGGAUCAUGGAGCCUGGCGCAAAGGUCGCAAAACGGGGAGCUGUAGGUCAAGCGGUAGUGGCUGCGCCACCAGAAGUAGCUUACAUACAAAUCCGGAUCUGCAACCACAAGCUUCAUAUACUGGGCCAGACCUUCCACGGACAUGAAGCGAUUAGCAUCGACGUACGAGUGCGGAGGCAGGAUGCGGGAGUAGUCUGCUCCGCCAAAAACCACGGGUAUUACGGUCCGUUCUAAUGCGUCGAAAAGUUUCUCCGUCACGUAAUCAUCGCACAGCGAGUUCUCAAAAGCCAGGUAGAAAAAGUAGUCAGUGUCCAACAUCUCGGCGCAGUGCGGAUCCCCCCGGGUGCAGCUGAAAUAUAAUUAAUAUUUAGAAAGUAAGCAUCUGCGUUUAAAAAACAAGCAGUUUGCAUGCCUACCGGUUGCUCCCAACUUAAGGCAUUUCAU